CACGUAGGGUGCGAGCGUUGUCCGGAAUUAUUGGGCGUAAAGCGCGCGCAGGCGGUCCUUUAAGUCUGAUGUGAAAGCCCACGGCUCAACCGUGGAGGGUCAUUGGAAACUGGGGGACUUGAGUGCAGAAGAGGAAAGCGGAAUUCCACGUGUAGCGGUGAAAUGCGUAGAGAUGUGGAGGAACACCAGUGGCGAAGGCGGCUUUCUGGUCUGUAACUGACGCUGGAGGCGCGAAAGCGUGGGGAGCAAACAGG
rnacentral:rRNA from 1 species